UUGAGAACUUUAUUAAAAAGCAUUAGCCUACAGCUGCUUUUGAACAUCUUAGAAUCAUUUCAGCAAGAUUUCUCCCUUUCUGUUAUUGCUUCCCCCAUUUGGGUGUAACCAUCAUAAUUUGUUUUUAAAAAGCCAAGAGAUUACUACAUAACACUAAAUUACUCUGCUCUCUUUUUUGAGUAGAUAACACAAGUAAAAAUAACAUCAACAAAAUUCCUGCUAAGACAACAAAAAAAACCCAGAAAAUGCAUGCCUGAAGAAAAUAAAGGGAAUUUGACUGGCAUAUUUAGACUUCUACAUGAAUUAAAAUUUUAAGUCUCCCCCAUUUCUCAAAAUCUCUUAUUAGAUAGAAGAUUGGUAUCAGCUGUACUAGUUAGGAAAGAGGAGUUAUCUUGAAGGCGAAGCUGUGGUGUUUAAGUGCACAUGUGUAGGUGUGAGCAUAUGCAAGUUAAUAAUUCAGGAAAAUGCUAACAUGGCUGCAAUAUUUGUACCUGAAGUACAGUCCUAUGCCAUUUGUCAUCCUCCUGCAUAUUCUGAUGAAUUUAAUCUUGCAUAAACUACAAUCUAGAGAAGUGACAGAUGUCAAUUAUGGUAAUAAAAAUUCACACCAAGAAAUUAGGACCUCUGAAACUAUCCUUGGAAACUAUAGACCUUUUAGCUUCCCCCCAAAAAAAUAAAAAAUGAGUCACAGGAAAAGUGUGUUCCUUAUGGCCAGCUAGAUAUAACUAAAACAAAGGCUUUGUUGAAAUAGUAUAAAAAAGCAAGACUACACAGAAAUUUUUACUCCCAGAGAGACUAUUAUGUAAAGUCAACUUACAUAAAUAACAUACCAUAUGGGGUAAAUUUCUUUGGAUAUUCCAUGACUGAGAUUCUGUUUAGUAUGGGACAGACACAGAAGUGCAGAGACUUCCUCUAGUGGAUCCUCCAGCUUUGCAUUCGCUUCUCUUACUGAGUGGCUUUUUUACUUCCACCAGUAGUGAGGACGAAUGUUAAGGAAAUUAAAUUAUGUUGCAGAAUUAUUUAUUUGAAGCGCAAGCCCUAUUAUAUUGUUUUGGGAUCCUUAUACAAAUCAUAAGGAUGACACGCUCUAAACUUGUUCUAGAAAACGAACAGCCAUGGGUAAUAACAUAUUGUAGAAAAAUGUAAAAAAAAAAAAAAAAUUUAAGUAGAGCUCUUCAGGACUUCAGCCAAAACUUAGUGUAGAAAUAAUCAGAGGUGAGAUAAGGCUUAAACUCACUGAGUCUUAAACUCUUUUCCUUCCAAGGCUAAAGGACGGGAGAUGUCACCCUGAUGUAUACAUACCUUGCUACUGCAGAAGUCAUACUGUGGAGAGAAUGCAUACAGCAGCUGAAAGUGAGAUUGAGAUAAAGUGUGUAGAAAGUAGCAGCCUUAUAGGUUUUCUGUAAAUUAAAUACUAAGGAUUCAUUUACUUAGUAAAUUACAUAGAAUAAUAACUCCUUAGCUGCUAAAAAACCUCAUGCAUUUUAGUGAACCCAUACAGAUUUACUGAAGCCAAGUAUAAUAAGAACUAGCAUCAAUUAGAGUUGUAUUUCUGUGAGGGGAAGUUGCUAUUCUAAGUAUGUUCAAGUUAUCCUCUAGGUUUUCCAAGUUUUGCUACCUGAGUUUAAAUAACCAGCCAUCAGUCUAUAAAAGUAUCAUUCUGAUCUUCUCAGGAGAAGCUUGAUGGCUCCUGGGAAGAAUUUUGGUACUGAACCUCCAAUUCUCUCAGCAGGAUAGCUUCCUCUGGCUACUUCUAAGUUUCAUCCCAUGGACAGGACACUUACCCUAAGAAAGGGACCUUACAGUCAUGGAGGGCAGAGCUGAUUCAUUUCCAGCACAGCUGCAGCCAAGCGCUGUUCAACAGUAAAGCUGCACUGACGAGUAGCACUAAAACAAAACUUUUCCACACCAUUAUUUAGUACAGGAGACUUGCAGUCUGAGAAGUAUAUUUGCACUGGCUAUUAUUGGAUAGUGAAGAUGUCCUACUGCUUUUAGAACACAGCAGGGUUCAUGCAUUCUUCUAUACUGAAAAGCACCAAUUAGAGAGAUUAAAGAGCCUGAUUUAAUGGCUGGGCCAGCGCUGAAUUUUAGAGGACUUCUAAAUUUGCAGUCCAUUUGCAAUUUCAUUAACAUAAUUGGCAAAAAGACUUACUUAGAUUUACUUAAAUUGUUUUUAUAGGUGCAGCAUAUCAACUAAUUCUUUUGAAGCCUUUGUAGAGUCAGGAGCAUCCUCAAAACUCUUUUUAAAGAGACUUAAGUAACACUUUAGCUGUACAGCUGAAGUGGACUCCUCCUAAGUGAAGGACUUGCUGAAUGCAAAUGCUGGAUUACUUGGAAUAGUUUAAAUACCUUGUCUGUCUUCUGUUGAGCACUUAUCUCCUUCAUAUGUAUCAGCUGGCAGGCCUAUACUGGUUAUCUUAAAUGACACAGUGCUCAGGGUAGACAACUAAUCCAUGCUAUGGAUCUGCCUGGUUCUAAAACAACAUGUCUUGAAAUAUCCCUCCCAUAAAUAAUUAUAGUUCAGGCCUUAUUUUCAAAGUGCAGAAUAAUUAGUAGAAUUACUUAUAAAAGAUUUGGGUUGCUUCAGUCAAGUAUACCUCCAACUGGUAGGUAUAAUUGCAAACACAUUAAGUACCCUGGGUACACUCAUAAAAACAGGAAAACAUGAAGAAAAAACAUAGAUGAAAGCCUUUGUCUCUUUUCAUGCUUUCUUCCAUUAAGAGGAACCUAAGUUAAAUCCUUUGGGUAAAUUCUAUUGCCUUUCACAAACAUUUCACCUUGUAUGUGGAUUACAUUUGAUGAUUUUGACAUGAAAAGCAUUUUUAAAAUGUUUUAAAGAGAGGAUCUGUAUUAAAUUUGGCUUAGAAGCAUAAUCAGACUGACCUUACUUUUGGGCUUUUUAAAACAGGAAAUUACAAUUCAGCCAUGAAAGAUCUGAAUUUUUCAGUAUAGUCCUUAAGCAAAAAAAUCAGGCAGCUCUGUAAUGUACUAUUUUGGGGAAAGAGGAGAAAAAUUGCUGUUUCCCAUUGCUCCCUCACCUCUCUUCUCCUAAGGUUGGGUAUGAGAGAGAAAGAGAAUAAGGUCUUCUUAAAUUCUUAAAAAGAAUAAGGCCUAAUAAAAAUAAAAUUUAUUUUUAAUCUGUCAUUAAGUACAUAAAUUGUAAUUUUACUAAAAAGAGACAUGAACAAUCUACUACACAUUUCAGCAGGUGAUUUUCAAAGUUACAUAAUCUGUUUAAAUAAAAAAACCCAAGGCAAACCUCAGAAUUUCAACCCACUUUACCUUUUGACUCUUGACACUGCAGCCAUCACUAUCAGUAUCCAUAUAAAAUUACUCUUAGACUGAUAAAAUGAUACCUGUAACAGAUGCUGACAAGGAAUAAUGUCCUAUCACAACAAAUACCUAUGAAGGAGCCAUUCCCUCCCCACAGAAAUUGUACAUUCCAAAGCAAAAAGCAGGCUGUUUUUCCACUAAAUCUUACUAGGAAAAAAAUUGACCAAACAAAUUUCUUGAUCAAGAAGAUCUCUCAACAAAAAUAGAGAUGAAUUUUCAGUAAACGAGCUGAAAUAGUUAAAAUAAGGGGGAAUAAAGGUGUAGCUCUACCAUGAGGGGAUGGAACACUAAACAAAGUACUUCAAUAUACUGCUUGGUAAAUUAGAUUGUCAUCCUAAUUGUAAUACUGGUGCACAUAUCAUAAUAAAUAUUAAAACAAAUCUAUAUGAAAUAUCAUCUUACCACUUAUGCUUCCAGUUUCUCUCUGUAAUCACAGUUAAGACCUCUACAGGACAUUAGAUAAAAAGGAAGAAAUAGAUAGCUAUAAAGUCAGCCUGUGCAGAUGGACACAGAAAAAAAAUUCUGCAGUUCCAAUCUUAAGAGCUUUUGUGCAGCUAUUCAUAAAGCAAUAUUAGAGUGGAAAUAGCACAUAAACAGUGUCAUAUACUGUUCUAAACAGUGUUUAGAUAUCUUUAUUAUCUCCUAUAAAUUGCUUUUCUGCUUUGGUAGGACAGUACUGCUACACAGAUUGGGUCUGGUGGCUUGACUGAGAAAACCAUUUUGCCAGCAGUGGUUCUUCUGUGCCCAGAGAGAAGGUAAUGAAAAGUUGCAUUACCAGGCACUGGCAGCUGUCCGUGCCAACAGCAUGCCAUAAAACAGCAGCAGCGUGGACUCAGCUUCUUGGGCCAGAAUAGGAAGCCUAAACCUUUUCUUUUUUUCAAAAUAAAACAUUAAGACAGCAACCAAGAAUACCUUUCUAUGUUUCUGAAGGCAUCAUGAUAUAAAUAUUUGGUUAAUAAUGUAAGGCAAACUAUAUCUGAAAAUACUAAUGUUAUAAACUGAGAUUUAUAAACUGACAUACUGCAGAGCGCACCAUUAUCUUAAUUUUUUAUUUUUAGAGAAAGCAGAUGUGCACUAUAGGAAAGAGAGGAAAUUAAGGAAAAAAAUAGGGCUAAUUUACCUUAUUUUUAAGGACCUUUAAAAACUAAGCUUUAUAAACUUCUUCCAAAUAGUUUCCAACCAAUUAGGUGGGGUUUGGAUUAAGCGUCCAGAUAUUUAUGCUCUUUGACAUUUCAAGACUACUGCAGCACUCCAGAAAACAAACCAUUUUCUUUAACCAGCUACAAAUGUCAUCAUCACCUACAAGAGACAGAAGUGACAUAGCAUUGCUUUUUUUUGACAUGAAGACCCAGCUACAGAGAGAAGAUGAUUAACAAAUGAAAUUCUGCACCUCCUGUACCUUUACUGAGUUUGUUUAAACAUGUGUACAUGUAUUACCAUAUUUACUAAUACCCACUGUAUUACUGAUUCAUUCAUUACAGACCCCUAUUUCUCAAAAUUAAUCAUAAUUUACAGGGUCAGGAAAUAAGGUCAAACAGACAACUUCAAUUUUACCACAGCCCAACAUCUGAGUGCUUGAAUUUGAAACGUUUAUGUUCCUUUAAUAUAUCUGCUGAAGACAUACUCACAUAUGCACCACAUACAGUUCAAGUGAUUGAGUUCUGGAAAUUCAAAAACUGGAUCAACUUAAAAGUCAUGAAAACUGUUAAAGACUAACAUCAAGGUAUCACACUUUAUGGAUUUCUGCACUUGUAAAAUAUUAGGGGUAAUUCCUCCCCAUUUUCAAGUCUUUGAAGGAUAAAAAAUAAAUCAUAGAAUUUCCAAGACCUUUCUAGAAUGACUCUUCUUUAACACACAUUGAAUGCUUUGGUGGAGCAAAAAAAAACCCCACCUACACCUGUCUGGGGUGGUUUCUGUAAAUUAUACACUCUUCCUCAAGCUAAGCUGUAAUGUUAAAGUCUAUGUUUUAUUCUAUCCUACACAGGCAAUUAUGUAUUUUAAUUGUGGGAAAAUGUAAUGUCAUUCUAGUAAUGGUUUUGCAUACUUGCCUUUUAAAAAAUGAAACUUGUGAUUGUUGAUAAUUUUGUCUUGUUAUCCACUUGGGGAGAAGCUUUCUGCACAUAGGAAAGGACAGACAGACUGAUUUACUUUUAAAGCUGUACCAAAAGGCUUUUUUUCAUUUCCAGGAAAAAAACCUGGUACGAGCAUAGAUUUUUUUUUUCCCAUUCUAAAAAAAAUAUCUUUCAGCUGAAAAAAAUUAAAUCUAUUGCCUCACCUUUGAUCUGGUUCUAGUCUGACCAUAUUUGCAAUAUAGCUUUCCAUUUCAUCAUGUCACAUAAUUUUUUUUAUGGCAUGAAUCACAUUCUCUUGAUAUACAACCAGGAAAAUAUUUUUGUUAGGACUUCUUUCCGAAUUGGUGCAGCAGCUAGAAGAUAAAUUAGAGAUUGCAAUCAAUAAAGCCUGAGGUAAUAUUUUUAAUAAUUCAAUAAAUCAAAAUAUUAAAUAAUUGUGUAAGUGGCAGGAUUCAUCCCUUCUAUGCUCUGAACAAGGUAAGAGUCCCAAGAAAAACACUAUGCAAUCACAAAAAUAAAGACUAUAAUGAUAGCUUUUGAGUUCAGGCAUUCUCAUUUUCAAACUUAACGAUCUUUUAAUGUAAUACAUGAGUAUAAUGUCUGUAAGCAUAUAAAUAUACAGACACUCAUGUAUACAUAAGUAGAACCACAAGCAAUCAGCAAAUUACUGUAACACCAGCUGUGUAUAUAUAGAACUAGGAAGCUCAGAGUCACCAAAUCGCUUCAUAAUGUGGUGGCUUCACUGCUUUCCCCUCCCCUCUCUCCUUCUAUCAUACAUUCUGUGCUUCCUUUGGUUGCUCUUGUACUAUCAUUACAAGCUCUUUGGGACUGAGACUUUAAGCAACUUUUUUUCUUCCACAUGAUAAGGAAAAGCACGCAGCCAAAUAUUUCUGGUGUAGUUCUUUUAUCUUUGAAUAAAUUCUGGUACCAAUAUCCUCAGUCCUUUAGUGGGCAGACAUCUUUAUCUAUGAGGAUGCCACUCCAGUAACAGAAACAUGUGAGUAAUUUUUCUUAAAAUGCUCUUCAAUGAAAAUAAGGGUAACAGAAACUUUCCUGUGUGUCAGUCAUAAAAUAGUCUCAGAUGACAAUUCCAAGCUUUGCAGUGUUAAUAGCAGGGAACAUGACUCCUGUAUUCCGGUAGCCGUGUACUUCAAGAAAAUGGAAAUUAUGGACCAGUCACAUUCCACUACUCGUUGCAUCCUCUUGCUGAUAAGCAAUCAGAUGACACAGAACCAAGCUCUCUGGUUUAUGAGUACCAAUUGCCAAAUCAUCCUCCAAGAGGAUGAAAAAUUGAAAAAAAAAAUGCAUGCAAAAUGAUAAAAUAAGUGAGAACAUUAAUCAUAAUUAAACAGAAGCACAUUGAUUUUUGCCAGCUGGAUUCAGCCACAGACUGUGGUGGGAAGGCUCUUCUCUCUUGGUUAACCCUCCUGAGAACUGUAUUAAUUCUUUAUAAUUAAUUUCUUAGGUAAUAGUGCAAAUAUUUGUCAAAACAGUUGAUCCACCACAAAAUUAAAUAUGGGGUGGGGAAUAAUGAAAACUCUAAUAUAUUCAAAACAAAGAUAAAAAUACCCAAACUGACUGGGUCGAUGGAGGGGGGAAGAGAAAAUGUUCUUUAUAUGAAUCGGUCACUCAAGCAAAGCAGAAUUCCUUGGAUCUGAAAAAUGGUUCACCACCCAUCCAUUCCUCUACACAAAAGGCCUAUCUUACACCACUGUUCAAGGCAGUUGCAAUUAAAUAUAUAUUUAUAGAGUCUUUAAACAAAGUAUAUUCAUUAUGUUCACAGUGACAUUGCUCUGAAGGACGCUGCAUAAAUGGAAGCUGUGCUUACAAAUGAUCACUGCAGAUAAACAAAUAUCUUGAAGGACUCACUCUGCACACAAAGGAAGUUGCCUUGCUUUGUUUAUGGGGAGAUUAGCUCCCUCCAGCUGACAUAAUACCUGGGAGAUAAAAUAACAAAAGGAAACACUUUGUCAAGAGUGUGAAAUCAGAUCCCAAUGCACCUUCAGGAGAGUGCAUCUGGGGCAAGUUUGUGGGGGCAAGAACCCUUUGUCUCCUUACGUGUCUAUAUAGCACAUAACUGUGAUUUGCAUCUCACAGCAUACAUCUACAUGAUAUUAACAAAAGGGUUACCAAAUAAGGCUGAAUAAUGCUAGCAAAUUGUAACACGGUAAAAAAUAAAUAAUCAAAUAUUCCUCCCCCAGAUCUACAAAAGCAGUGCUGCAUCCAUGCAUCAGUUAAGUAUUCAAACCCUAUCAGAAGGGAGGAGUGAAAUGAUGUUUAUCUCUAAGAGGUAAUUUUACAGUUUAAUGUAAAAGAUCUGCCAAUUAUAGUACACUUCAGUACUAGAGUACUGUUCUCCUAAAACCUGAAGUAAAAAUCUAAAGGAUAUACAGCAACUGUGUUUCUUUUCUUCAUAAAGGAAUUUCAGGAUAGUUCCUACCAUCUGCCAGAAUCCCCAAUACCAGCAUUUAGCCCAAAGUUCACAUCUUGUUGGCUGUCUUAACAGCUAAAACAAUGAUUUUCCUAGGUGUGAUUCUUAACUUCUAUCACACCUGUUGAUCCAGGACAGAAAGGACUCCUGCUUACAGAGCUGUAGGGAAAUUAAAUUUCUUAUACUGUUUCAGCUAUGAAUAAGAACAGCUCAGCUCAUGUAUGUCCUUUAGUGCUUUCCAGGAGUACAAUAAAAAGAACUGCUGAACUGUCUUAUGGGACUGAAGGCUAAAUUACGGUUUUGUGGGCUGAGAUAUAGGAAAAAAAAUGCCCCUAGUUUAUCGGGGGGACUGCUAAACUUUAGAAUAUAUUAUUUGUACUGUAAAGCACUUUAUUUCAGCAGUAUAUUUCAGGUGUACUGCUUUUUUUUCCUCAUCUCUUUUCUGCUUUUAAUUUUUUGGUGCUUCUACACCUAUAACAACAUCUUCCUCUGAGUUGUUUUGUCUCAUAAACAGGAUAUUUAGUUGAAAUGUAGUUUUGUCUUUCUUGAUAAGGAUUUAGCUAACUUACACACUGAGGUGUGCAUAUGAUUGCAAAAAGCUGCAGUAGAACUUAAAAGUCCACUCUUUAAUAUGAACAUAAAAUUCAGAUAUGAUUAUCUGAAUGUCUGUUUGUAUUUUUGGAUAAGUUUACAGUAUUAAAACUAAUCACAUGUAUGUUCUGCUUACUAGAAAGAAAUUACUUUAAAAAGAUUAUUUUUAAUAUUUCCUCCUUCUCUGCAGGAGUUAUAAAGCUAUAAGUGUACAAUGCUCUAGUCAGUUCUGUAAUAUCUGUAAAACUGUCCACAGUAAAUAAAGUGUGUUGGGUUUUGGGUUUCUUUCAAGAUAACAAUAUGGCUCUUACCAAAAGUUUAAAAAAAACCCUGUUUUAACAAAGAGUAAAGAACCUCAUAUCUUUUCUUAAGUAUAAAAUGCUACUUUUAAAAAUGUACUUUCUUAAGGCUUAUAAAGUAUAUAAUAAGCAAUAAAACCCAUUUCCUAGAAGAAAACAUCUCUGACUGAGCUGUUGCACAGUGCCUAAGCACAUAAGCAUUUAAAACAUUUCUUCUUAUUUCAUUCCAAACGAAAAUGAGUGCAUUGAGUCUUCAGACUGGACACUGCAAACUCAAUUGCCACCAAAAGAAAAAAAAAAGUAAACUGUUGAAAAGUGUGAGGUAAAGGGCAUGACUUUCACAUUGUUUAACAGUACCAGCAGUUCUGAACUCAGCACAGAUGAGGGUACCUGCAUCUGGUACAACUAAACAAGGAAUUUGGUCUAUAAAUUGUAUCUAAUAUUGAUAUUAAAAAUAUUUCAUUAAGGAAUUAACAAACAUUUGCUUAUAACCAGAUUAACUUGAUAGAUUAUUUGAUUUUAGAAACCUUUCUUAUUAGGCAUGAAAUACAAUGGCAAGCCACUAGGAAUCAAUAAAUCUCCACACCUUUUCGAAUCAGCAAAGAAAGCAUGGAACUAAACAAGGGGUUCUACUUGACAAGCAAGUUCCAAAACAGGGGGUAAAGACCAUCAACACUGAAAGGAACCUAGGAGUAAAAUACAUUUCUGAAACGUUUUCAAGCAUUCCACAUUGUUUUUUAGACACUAGAAAAGAGGGAAGAGACAUUUAUUCUUAGUAUAACUGAAAUC
rnacentral:lncRNA from 1 species